GACGAACGCUGGCGGCGUGCUUAACACAUGCAAGUCGAACGGAAAGGGCCUGCUUGCAGGGUACUUGAGUGGCGAACGGGUGAGUAACACGUGGGUGAUCUGCCCUGCACUUCGGGAUAAGCCUGGGAAACUGGGUCUAAUACCGGUUAGGAGUCCGUUUUAGUGUGAUGGUUGGAGAGUUUUUUCGGUUUAGGCUUAGCUCGAGGCCUAACAGCUUGUUGGUGGGGUAAUGGCCUACCAAGGCGGCGGCGGGUAGGCGGCCUGAGGGGGUGGACGGCCACCAUGGGACUGAGGUACGGCCCAGUCUCCUACCGGCGGCAGCAGUGGGGAGUAUUGCACAAUGAGCGCGAGCCUGCGGCAGCGGCGCCGCGUGGGGGAUGACGGCCUUCGGGUUGUAAACUGCUUUCGCUAGGGACGAAGCAUUUUGUGACGGUACCUAGAUAAGAAGCACCGGCUAACUACGUG
rnacentral:rRNA from 1 species